UGGCCGUGUCGUCCUCCAUGGCAUCCGUGGACGCCGCGAUGUCUCCUCCCGCCUAUUCCUCCGCUGUUCCAUGGCCGCCGCCUCCAUACGCCUCAAGCUCUGCGAUGGGACUGGAGCCAGGGUCGUGGGCGACAACGAUGUUGCGUCCGUCCCCGCUACUCCCCCUAUGAGUUAUGAUGGAGGUACCAGAUGCCUAUCAUUGAUGUUGAUCAUUCGUUGGUGACCUCCAAUGCCUGGUUGUAAGAGAGUUCCUCCUUGAAAAACGCACCAUAUCAUAGGCAUAAAGUCCAGUCCAAACACGCAAAUGGUGAAGCCUGAUCGUUAAUAUGCCAAUAUUUCUGCCCCACAUAUGAUUUUAGUUGUGCCUGCACAUGUGAAGGGAGAUUAUAGUUGCAAGAUCUGAAAGCUAUCCACGCUUCUUGGUAAUGGACUCUCCAGUUGGUACUUGAUGAGCUUUCAAUAUAUAUUGAUUGUGUUGGAUGCGUAUAUUUUUUUUAGAUGGAUAGCAAGUUGUAUGUAGCAAGGGUUAUUGGGAGGGGAGACUGAAACUAAGAUCUAUCCGGUGAGUUGAGGUAAAAGGUGGGGUGCCAGAAAUAUUCAAUGUGAUGUAUGCACAAACACUUUUGAUGCUAAAACUUUUGUACAUGUAUUCCAUAGUAUUUUUCCACAUACACUGGUACCUAUAUUUCAUCAUACUUGCCACAUUAUAUGGUUUCAGUUAGUACACUGCAAUGGAAUCUACAAAAGAGUACUAUAAGGAGAAGCAUGCAGCAACUUUCUGGAUUAUCAGAGAAGUGUAUGCAAGAGUUGUCUGCCACCAAAGCAGAUUCCAGAUAAAAUGCUAACCCUGAGAGGAGAAAGAUGAGAGGGAGGUGUAACGUGGUUGUUGCUGCUGCUUGAGGACUCCACGGAAGAAAAAUAGAAGAGAAGACGAAGAGAAGAGAAAGGCCCGCAUAUCUUUAUGGAG